ACUCGACUAAUAAUUAAAAAAUAACAAACUAUUUGUUUUCCUAGUAAAAUAAAAUAAGGAAUACGAGAUUGUUUUAAGCCGAUUAAGACCGUGACGUAAUUUGUUCAAUUCGGGUGUUGCUCCCGAUAGCGAGCGUGGAAUUUUUCCGUGUUGAAACAAUGGCCCAUUAUUGUCUGAUAACCGUGAUAAAAAUGCAAAGUGAAGUCACCAUUUAAAUGACAACAAUAAUUAGUUAAUAUUGUGCAAUUAGUACCUCUGCAUUACUUAGAAAAUGGCGCCCAGUUGUCUAUAUCCGUCAUCUGUCAACCUAAAUCUAGAGUCAAUGUCAUUAGUGUUAUCUGUCACGGCUGUCAUAUAAAAUCAUUUGUUGAAAAAUCAAAAGUGUCCUGUCCACCCACAUUUAUAACGUCUAUUAUUUAUCGUAUUUGAUACAUGUGGUUGGAAUUUAACCGUUCUUGUCAAUGGAAAUCUGUUGAUUUUCUUGUCAGUAAAUGCAUAGAUGGAAAAAAAUUAUUUAACGCCAUUUUCAAGGUAAAAUAAAAAUUUGUCUGUCAAA